CCUAACACAUGCAAGUCGAACGAGAAAGCUUCUUCGGAAGUGAUUAAAGUGGCGCACGGGUGAGUAACGCGUAGACAAUCUACCCUUCAGUCCGGGACAACUUUCCGAAAGGGGAGCUAAUACCGGAUAACAAUGUUUAACAUAAGUUUAAUAUUUGAAAGCUCCGGCGCUGAUGGAUGAGUCUGCGUCCCAUUAGCUUGUUGGUGCGGUAGUGGCGCACCAAGGCUGCGAUGGGUAGCGGGUUUGAGAGGACGAUCCGCCACACUGGAACUGAGACACGGUCCAGACUCCUACGGGAGGCAGCAGUGGGGAAUAUUGCACAAUGGAGGAAACUCUGAUGCAGCAAUGUCGCGUGAGUGAAGAAGGCCCUUGGGUCGUAAAGCUCUUUUAUGGGGGAAGAUAAUGACGGUACCCCAGGAAUAAGCACCGGCUAACUACGUGCCAGCAGCCGCGGUAAUACGUAGGGUGCGAGCGUUGUUCGGAAUUACUGGGCGUAAAGGGCGCGCAGGCGGAGAUGUAAGUCGGAGGUGAAAGCCCGGGGCUCAACCCCGGAGGGUCUUUCGAAACUGCAUCUCUAGAGAGGGUCAGGGGCCGGCAGAAUUCCUGGUGUAGAGGUGAAAUUCGUAGAUAUCAGGAGGAAUACCGGUGGCGAAAGCGGCCGGCUGGGGCCACUCUGACGCUGAGGCGCGAAAGCGUGGGGAGCAAACAGGAUUAGAUACCCUGGUAGUCCACGCCGUAAACGAUGAGCACUGGACGUUCGGAGGGUUCGACCCUUCUGGGUGUUUCAGCUAACGCAUUAAGUGCU
rnacentral:rRNA from 1 species